rnacentral:rRNA from 1 species
AGAUUGAACGCUGGCGGCAGGCCUAACACAUGCAAGUCGAGCGGUAGAGAGGUGCUUGCACCUCUUGAGAGCGGCGGACGGGUGAGUAAUGCCUAGGAAUCUGCCUAGUGGUGGGGGAUAACGUUCGGAAACGGACGCUAAUACCGCAUACGUCCUACGGGAGAAAGCGGGGGACCUUCGGGCCUCGCGCCAUUAGAUGAGCCUAGGUCGGAUUAGCUAGUUGGUGAGGUAAUGGCUCACCAAGGCGACGAUCCGUAACUGGUCUGAGAGGAUGAUCAGUCACACUGGAACUGAGACACGGUCCAGACUCCUACGGGGAGGCAGCGAGUGGGGAAUAGUU